GUUCCCUCCUCCAGGCAUGGUGCACUCACAUCCUACCUCCCGCACAAUAUACUGCACAUUUUGUGCUUUUACGCAAAAAAUGUGGUGAUUUGAUCGAUUCUGCAAUAGCACUGACGUGCGCGCGGCUCGCGGUGCCUCCGUAUUCAGGUGACGAAGAAAACAAUCAUGUAAACAAUAAUAUUGUUCUGUUUCGCGGCAUACGGGAUGUUCUAAAAGAUGUUUGUUCAUUGCUCAACCGUUAAGCAGUAUCAUUUGCAUAUGGAAUAGUGAAUAUGAGGUCAAGUGAGUGUUUAUAUUCGUUAAGUGCAGUCUGUGCCAAGAGUCAAAUUAAGAAUCACAUCUAAAUACAUAGUUACUUUGAUUUUAAAAUAACUUACAUAAAAUAUCCUAGAUAUGAGUCAACAAAGAAGCGCAUAGUAUUUUAGAACGUUGACUAAAUCAAUGUCAAGGCAAAAACGGCAUAAAAUGAACCGCUGACUCACAACGUUGCUUGCAGUCUGCUGUCACACUACAGGUAAGAUCCGGAUUGGAACUGAAACUUCAAGCAUGCUCACCAUACUCCUGUAACAACAUUUCGAUUGAGAAAUAUCUUCGCAGAACUGAUUCGCGUCGUGAUCAUUUCACUAGAAGAUAAAAGGAUUGUAAAUCCUAACAUCCUGUAUCGAGAUAUUUUCAACAUUAAUGACUUCAUGCUAAAAGUAUACAGCAAUGCGCGUUCAAUGCGUUACCAUUCAAAGAAUAGCCUGACCACUCAACAAAAUUGACGCACAAUAGUUUGUUUACUAUAAGACACAUAAUUCUUUAUUAUUGCGAAGACUCCGAAUAUUAGAUAUUUUAAGAAUUUGAUUGAAUCGAGAGUGACAUUGAUUUUUUGAGCGCGUGCAAGUAGGUACUCAUAGCUAAGUUUAAGAGAUAGAUAAAUAAAGCAGAUAGGCGAAUUUAACAAAAAACAAUGACAUAAAGUUGUUUAUAAAUAAUAUAUAAUACAACUUUUUCAGGUUAUCUCCAAAACAAUUGAAUAACAUUUUCAGCGAAAUCAAAACAGCUGUGAAAUGGAUUACGCCAUACCCGUUGCGUCAUCUAAAAAGUGAAAGGAUCUGCAUACGGAGUGAAGAAAACCUUUAAGAUAAGGCUGAGGAGGAAAUCGGCUGGGAGGCACUUGGUCAAAGCCUGUCGAGGCUGUGGGGUUGUUCAAAAGAGUUAACGCGGCCCUGGUACGCAAAGAGGUCCAAAAGGGAUGUCGUGGGUUUUAGUCAGUAAAAGUUUGACUAUCCGAGGAAAGUCGUUGCCUGCCUCAGAAGAAAAGGGACACGAAAAAUGAUUUUAUACAGUGAGGUCAGUUCCUGACUACUUCCUUAAGAGCUGCGGAGUUUAUGUGGGUAAAAAAAUUAAUUGACAGGACUCUCUCCAUUCAUUAAAAACAAAAAUACCAA